AAAGACAUGAAUUUCACUAAACCUGCAGUAACAUCUGCUAAAUGUGUGACCAAUAAACUUUGAUAUGAACAUCAAUCAAUGUUUACAGAGACAGUAAUGUAGUUAGUAAACCAAAUAUUUAUUAUGGUCUUCACAACAAAUCAGCUGUGCAGGUGGUAAAAGGCCAGAGUCCAACAACAGGAGAGAUUCUAGCAGUAGUCAACAGCCAGGUGCCAUUGGCAGAGUAGAGGGCUGGGUAUGCGGGAUCCGUCCUUCACACCAAUGAGACCGGCUUCAGACAACCAUGGUUCAGCUCUUUGCAAAUCAUGGACCGCUGGCUUCAAACAGGGGGCUUGGAGUGGGUGGGGAAAAACAAUCACAGCAGUAGGGGAAUGGGCCAGUCUACUUGGACCUCUGCCUCAUCUUUCGCCUUUUACGCUUCAGCCUACAAAGACCAGAAAGUGUCAAUUAGUGACCAGAGCUGCAUCAUUACAUACCAAACACAGCAUGUCAGUUUGUAAAAGUCCCUACAAUGAUUAGCAUUAAUCCCACCAUUGCUGUGUGCUCAUUUAGUAUUUAAAAUGUAACGUUUAUUUAACUAGGCAAGUCAGUUAAGAACAAAUUCUUAUUUACAAUGACACACGGUCCCCGGUAGUUAACUGCCUUGUUCUGGGGAACAGAUUUAAGUUGUCACCUCGGGGAUUCGAUCCAGCAACAUUGUGGUUACUGGCCCAAUUUUCUAACCACUUGGCUACCCGCCACCCCAAAUGAAAACAUUAAUCCUGGACUGAACUAUUAUGAGCCUUAAAAAAAAAAAGUCAUAUGCAUGAGUUUCAUGCAAACAAGUAUUCAUUCAUGUUUACAGCACAAGCUGCGGGUCGAAACAGGAAGACAUGUGGAUAUCUGGCAUGGCAAUGCAGACCAUGCGUCACAAGGUUAGGAGUUAAGACCAUACAAACACGCAGGCAUGACACUGGUGAACAGUAUCAUUUAUCCUGCUAAUAUAAGCCACUCACGAAAUCUACAAAAUACAUUACAAGUAAUAUUGCUAGUACCUUGUGCGCCAUUGGGCCGUGAAACCUAGUUCGCCAACGUGGUCAAGCUAGCAAACGUUAGCUAAAAACGCCAUGGGUGAAGUAAAUUGUAUAUCCAACAUUCAAAAUGCAAAACUCGUGCCAAUUAAGCGUUUAACCUUUAAUGUAAUAUUGAAUACAGCCAAUGUUUCCAUAAUAUAGGAAGCCAACUAUUUAGGCACGUUGUCGUCAGAGAAAUGUGUGUAUAGCGUUAGGUAGCUAGCCACUGCUUAAUGACAAUGAGCCAAACAAAAGCCCGCUAAUAUGAAGUUAGAUAUUUAUCAACUCACCUUUGCUCUCAUCUUGUGGAGAUGUGUCUGCAAUUAAAGAUAACAAAGUUGUUUAAUGUAACGGAUGGCAAGCAAUUACUACUGAUUUAGUUGGAUUUGUUUUGGGACAGAAUUCAAUGUUUCUUACCUCUACAGCGAA
rnacentral:lncRNA from 1 species